GAUGAACGCUAGCGGCAGGCUUAAUACAUGCAAGUCGAGGGGCAGCGCAGUGUAGCAAUACAUGGGCGGCGACCGGCAAACGGGUGCGGAACACGUACGCAAACUUCCUCUAAGUGGGGGAUAGCACAGGGAAACUAGGAUUAAUACCCCGUAAUAUGAUGAAGUGGCAUCACUUUAUACUUAUAGCUUCGGCGCUUAAAGAUGGGCGGUCGACUGAUUAGGUAGUUGGCGGGGUAACGGCCCACCAAGCCUGCGAUCAGUAACUGGUGUGAGAGCACGACCAGUCACACGGGCACUGAGACACGGGCCCGACUCCUACGGGAGGCAGCAGUAAGGAAUAUUGGUCAAUGGACGCAAGUCUGAACCAGCCAUGCCGCGUGGAGGAUGAAGGUCCUCUGGAUUGUAAACUUCUUUUAUUUGGGAAGAAACCCACUGUUUCUACGGUGGUUGACGGUACCAGAUGAAUAAGCACCGGCUAACUCCGUGCCAGCAGCCGCCGUAACAC
rnacentral:rRNA from 1 species